AAAGCGCGCGUAGGCGGCUUGUUAAGUCGGAUGUGAAAUCCCUGGGCUCAACCUAGGCAUUGCAUUCGAUACUGGCAAGCUAGAGUAUGGGAGAGGAAGGUAGAAUUCCAGGUGUAGCGGUGAAAUGCGUAGAGAUCUGGAGGAAUACCGAUGGCGAAGGCAGCCUUCUGGCCUAAUACUGACGCUGAGGUGCGAAAGCAUGGGGAGCAAACAGGAUUAGAUACCCUUGU
rnacentral:rRNA from 1 species